GAUGAACGCUGGCGGCGUGCUUAAUACAUGCAAGUCGAGCGAAAAGACGAGGAGCUUGCUCCUCUGACGUUAGCGGCGGACGGGGGAGUAACACGUGGAUAACCUACCUAUAAGACUGGGAUAACUUCGGGAAACCGGAGCUAAUACCGGAUAAUAUAUUGAACCGCAUGGUUCAAUAGUGAAAGACGGUUUUGCUGUCACUUAUAGAUGGAUCCGCGCCGCAUUAGCUAGUUGGUAAGGUAACGGCUUACCAAGGCAACGAUGCGUAGCCGACCUGAGAGGGUGAUCGGCCACACUGGAACUGAGACACGGUCCAGACUCCUACGGGAGGCAGCAGUAGGGAAUCUUCCGCAAUGGGCGAAAGCCUGACGCAGCAACGCCGCGUGCGUGAUGAAGGUCUUCGGAUCGUAAAACUCUGUUAUUAGGGAAGAACAGGUGUGGAAGUAACUAUGCACGUCUUGACGGUACCUAAUCAGAAAGCCCCGGCUAACUACGUG
rnacentral:rRNA from 1 species